rnacentral:rRNA from 1 species
GACGAACGCUGGCGGCGUGCUUAACACAUGCAAGUCGAACGGUGAAGCUCCAGCUUGCUGGAGUGGAUCAGUGGCGAACGGGUGAGUAACACGUGAGCAACCUGCCCCAGACUCUGGAAUAAGCGCUGGAAACGGCGUCUAAUACUGGAUACGAGAUCAAGCCGCAUGGUUAUGGUCUGGAAAGUUUUUCGGUUUGGGAUGGGCUCGCGGCCUAUCAGCUUGUUGGUGAGGUAAUGGCUCACCAAGGCGACGACGGGUAGCCGGCCUGAGAGGGCGACCGGCCACACUGGGACUGAGACACGGACCAGACUCCUACGGGAGGCAGCAGUGGGGAAUAUUGCACAAUGGGCGAAAGCCUGAUGCAGCGACGCCGCGUGAGGGAUGACGGCCUUCGGGUUGUAAACCUCUUUCAGCAGGGAAGAAGCGAAAGUGACGGUACCUGCAGAAGAAGCACCGGCUAACUAC